GGGAGGCCAGCCUGGGCCUCAGGGCGGGCUCUGCGCCAACCCUGUCCCCUGGUGCUCUCACCAGCUGGCGGAGAACAGCAGCAGAGCGGAGGAGUACGUGGAGCAGAGCCUGCCGUACCUGCAGAGCCCACAGGAACCCUUGCGCGAGGCAGCCGUCAGGUUCCUUGGGCUCGCUGGGCAGCGGCUGAGGGAUGGGCACCAGGAGAAGCUGCAGGUCAUCUGCGAGGCCCUUCAAGGCAAGGCGAACGACAGCAGCCCCUCGGUCUCUUCCCUGGCGCUUCAAACCCUGCGGAUGCUGGGCACUGCGGUG